UUCAAAACCACUAGAAUAUGAAUAUAUUUAGGUGAGACCUCUUCUCUCUGUUUUGACUAUAGCAAGUUCAGUUCACAUGAUGUUUCUUUAAAUCCCUGGCCCCUGGAGGCAUUUAUGUGGGAUCCUUGAUUUAGGCAAAGUAGCAGAAAUGAAUAAUCAUGUAUAGGGUUAGGAGUUCUGAAAUUAAGUGAGGGAAAAGCAACUUUUUUUUAAAUUCAGGGAGGGAAGAAAAGGGAAGUUCUUGUCCUUGCGGGUUAGUUUACGCUCUAGCCAGAAAUUAACUUAACUGCCUAAAUCCAGCAGGCUCUAUGCGUGUCACCAUCUCUGUGAACAGAGCCCCUGGGAUUGUGCAGUGCGCAGCCUGUGCAGCCAUAUGCAGCAGCUCUGAUUCUCCAUCUGUAUCACAUUGUAAAAACAGUGUAUUUUAUAACCUGAUUUAACGUUCUGUUUUAAUAAGGUGUGGUUUUGAGCCCCAUCUCCAUUCAAAACCCCUCUCAGUCAUCAUCAUCAUGAUGACCUCCUAAUGGUUAUUGAGCAAUUACUACAUACCAGACUCUAUGUUGCCCCAUUUGUUUCUGAUACUGACUCUACCAAAAGUUCUAAUGUUAACCCCAUUUUAAAGAUGAGAAAAUGGAGACUUGGAGAAGUCAAGUAACUUGCCCAGGGUCGUGCUGUGGAGCAGGGAUCCGAAUCCGUCCACGCUGACUCCACAGCCCACCUUCCUAACCACGGAUCUGCAGGGCUUCUUACAAAGCCUCACGCCCUCUCUUCUGCCCUGGACAGGCAACACUGGCUUCCAGCUGAGUCGGAAGGAGUCCUUUCUUAGGUGCCAUACAUUCAUGAAGCAUAAUCACGUGGCUUUUCGAAGAGGACGUGUUGAAGCACAGAUGGUUUUGUGGUCCCUCUCAGGGAAGUCAAGUGCUUGGGGAAAACCGGAGAAUUACAGCAUUUGAAAAGGGAGAAGGGAGUUGUGUCCAAGAAAACAGAGUCAAAGCUGUUGACUUUGGUGUCUAAAGUAAGCAAGCCUGUGGAGGUUUCCUCGGGUCACAGUCAAGGCCAUGAAUUUCGCUGAUGGCUGCAUUCACGUCAUCUUUUGAACGUGCAGGACAGAAGCUACUACCGAAAAUAUAGUUUUGCUUCUCAAGCUAUCAAAAAUGAAGACCAUUCCUCUCCUUGAUAAAUAC
rnacentral:lncRNA from 1 species